AAGUCGUAACAAGGUUUCCGUAGGUGAACCUGCGGAAGGAUCAUUAACACGUAUCCAAACGUUAAACCCCCCUGUGAACCUUCAGUCGUACUCGUACGUCCGUUAGAAAAAGCAGCAAUCCCUGGUAAAUCAUCGCCGAACAGUUUUCGAUUCAGGGACGUCUGCAAGGAGCGUGCAUGUUGUGCGUGUAAGUGGCCUGGCAUCCCCAAGCAGUUAGUGUCUGAAAGUGUCGACCGGGUCGACAAUGGAUAUCUUGGUUCUC
rnacentral:misc_RNA from 1 species